GAUGAACGCUGGCGGCGUGCCUAAUACAUGCAAGUCGAGCGAACUGAUUAGAAGCUUGCUUCUAUGACGUUAGCGGCGGACGGGUGAGUAACACGUGGGCAACCUGCCUGUAAGACUGGGAUAACUUCGGGAAACCGAAGCUAAUACCGGAUAGGAUCUUCUCCUUCCUGGGAGAUGAUUGAAAGAUGGUUUCGGCUAUCACUUACAGAUGGGCCCGCGGUGCAUUAGCGAGUUGGUGAGGGAACGGAUCACCAAAGCAACUAUGCAUAGACGACCUGAGAGGGUGAUCGGCCACACUGGGACUGAGACACGGCCCAGACUCCUACGGGAGGCAGCAGUAGGAAAUCUUCCGCAAUGGACGAAAGUCUGACGGAGCAACGCCGCGUGAGGGAUGAAGGCUUUCGGGUCGUAAAACUCUGUUGUUAGGGAAGAACAAGUACGAGAGUAACUGCUCGUACCUUGACGGUACCUAACCAGAAAGCCACGGCUAACUACGUGCCAGCCGCCGCAGUAACAC
rnacentral:rRNA from 1 species